UGUUGAUGGAAUAGUGUUGGUGGUGAGUCAGUGGGAACCAGCAGUUCCCUCUCAGUCUUCCUUUGUGGAUGGGUGGUGUUUAAUGUAUGUGUGUGAGUAUAUAUACAUGCGUGUGUGUGUGUUUG